rnacentral:rRNA from 1 species
UACGGAGGGUGCGAGCGUUGUCCGGAAUCACUGGGCGUAAAGGGCGCGUAGGCGGCCUGGUAAGUAGGGGGUAAAAUCCUGCGGCUUAACCGCAGGGCUGCCUUCUAAACUGUCAGGCUAGAGCACGGUAGAGGCAGAUGGAAUUCCCGGUGUAGCGGUGGAAUGCGUAGAGAUCGGGAAGAACAUCGGUGGCGAAGGCGGCCUGCUGGGCUCUUGCUGACACUGAUGCGCGACAGCGUGGGGAGCAAACAGG